rnacentral:rRNA from 1 species
AUUGAACGCUGGCGGCAUGCCUUACACAUGCAAGUCGAACGGUAACAGGUCUUCGGAUGCUGCCGAGUGGCGAACGGUUGCGUAAUACAUCGGAACGUGCCCGAUCGUGGGGGAUAACGAAGCGAAAGCUUUGCUAAUACCGCAUACGAUCUACGGAUGAAAGCGGGGGAUCUUCGGACCUCUCGCGGCCUGACCGGCCGAUGGCAGAUUAGGUAGUUGGUGGGAUAAAAGCUUACCAAGCCGACGAUCUGUAGCUGGUCUGAGAGGAUGAUCAGCCACACUGGGACUGAGACACGGCCCAGACUCCUACGGGAGGCAGCAGUGGGGAAUUUUGGACAAUGGGCGCAAGCCUGAUCCAGCCAUGCCGCGUGCAGGAUGAAGGCCUUCGGGUUGUAAACUGCUUUUGUAAGGAACGAAAAGGUGCCUUCUAAUAAAGGGCGCUCAUGACGGUACCGUAAGAAUAAGCACCGGCUAACUACGUG